rnacentral:rRNA from 1 species
UACGAGUGGUGCAAGCGUUAUUCGGAAUCACUGGGCGUAAAGGGUGUGUAGGCGGCAAAUCAAGUCUGUUGUAAAAUAUCCCAGCUUAACUGGAGUGUGCGAUGGAAACUGGUUUGAUAGAGGGUGAAAGAGAGAAGUGGAAUUCUCGGAGUAGCGGUAAAAUGCGUAGAUAUCGAGAGGAACACCGAUGGCGAAGGCAGCUUCUUGGUUCACACCUGACGCUGAUACACGAAAGCGUGGGGAGCAAACAGG